CGGGCGGGCGGGACGUUGGGUUGAUGUCUCUCUCUCUCUCUCUCUGUCUCUCUCUCGGCCGAUGGCGUGGCUCCGGAGGCCAUUAGGCGCCCUGCCCGGCCCAUUAAGCCCCCAUUAAGGCCCUCAUUCCCUCCUCUCCUUCCACCCUUGGGUGGCUUUUAUGGCGGGGAAUUAGGAGCCGGCCUAUGAAUUAGUCACCCGCUUCACGAGGGGGCAAUGGUCGGCCCUCACCGUCUCCAUGGAAACGCACGCCCAGGAGCAAGACCUUGGCAGCGCCAAGGGGGCGGGGCCACCCCAGGCUCCUCCCCCUUGGGAGGCUCCGCCCCCUGCCUUAAAGGGCCGCCCACUUCCGAGAUGGCCGCCACUCACCGAGAUCUUGGUGAAGAUGUAGAGCAGGAGCGAGAGGACGGAGAGGUAGAUCUGGAUCCGCUUCCCCCCAAAGCGCUUCUUGAGGGAGAUGAGGUUGGCUCCCUCUCUACCUUCCUUCAGGAAACAACGGAAGACUUGGAUGUUUCGGCAGGCCUUCGGAGAUACAGUCAUUCAUUAAUCAGACUCAGAGGGUUUUUAAUCAUCUAUCCUGUAUUACGGUCUUACCAUUUAUGUGUUUUAAAUGCAAUUUUUUAUCCUGUAUUGUUGUUUACAUUGAUAUAUUGUAUUACUGUUUUAUCUUUUUAUAUUGUGAUUGUGUUGUGUUGCUUAUAUUUUGUCCUUAUGUUGUUUGGGCCUCUGCCCCACGUAAGCCGCCCCAAGUCCCCGCGGGGAGAUGGUGGCGGGGUAGAAAUAAAGUUUUUAAAUUAUUA